rnacentral:rRNA from 1 species
UACGUAGGUGGCAAGCGUUGUCCGGAAUUACUGGGUGUAAAGCGCGUGUAGGCGGGAGGCCAAGUCUGCUGUGAAAUCGCUCGGCUCAACUGGGCGGGGUCGGUGGAAACUGGUCACCUGGAGGACGGUAGAGGCGAGUGGAAUUCCCGGUGUAGUGGUGAAAUGCGUAGAGAUCGGGAGGAACACCGGUGGCGAAGGCGGCAUCCUGGACCGGCAUUGACGCUGAGGCGCGAAAGCCAGGGGAGCAAAGCGGG